rnacentral:rRNA from 1 species
GUCGCUACUACCGAUUGAAUGGCUUAGUGAGCUCUCUGGACUGUUGCGCCUCGUUGGAAACUUCGGCGUGCAUACGGGAAGGAGAUCAAACUUGAUCAUUUAGAGGAAGUAA